ACAUCAGUCUCUUCAGCUAGGAAACACUACUACCAAUGUUCUUGUUUCUAACAGCACUGUCUUAUUUCUAUGAUCUGCCAAAAACUUCCUCCGACUAUAAGUAUUUGACAUUUUCCAUCCUGAUGUUAAAUGUUUACAUAAAAAGACUUUCCUAUCCAAGUAUAAUAAUAUGGGAAUGAUUUAGUUUUAAUUAUAAAUCGGGGUUUUGGCAAAAAUGAAAAACCCAAAAUACGAAGUCCAGAGUAGCAUUUUAUUGCUAGACUGGCAGUGAUGUAUCAUUUCUUUAAAACUUUCCAGAUGAAAGUUUCUUGAGACAACACUUGUGGAUAAAAUGUUAAAUUUUGUAAAUUAUAAUUAGAUUUUUUUGGGGGGAUGUGUCCUAUAACAGAGAAUUUGCUAAAAAAAAAACUAUAUAAUGUCUUAUUUCUCUGUAAUGAAAUGUGUGUAUAGGGCAAACUGUAUCGUGGCCUAACAUAAAGCUUGGAUGGUGGCUUCCUGAUUAUAUGAAGAUAGAUAUAUAAUGAUUGCAGAAUUUAGAUAGUUUUCAUUGAAUGUGCUGCCAUAACUUGGGUUUACUCUUGGUAAUAAAUAAAUUAAAAGAUAAAUUAAAAAAA